GAUUCAACUGGAGAGUUUGAUCCUGGCUCAGAAUCAACGCUGGCGGCGUGCCUCAUACAUGCAAG
rnacentral:rRNA from 1 species